CACGUAGGCGGACUUUCAAGUCAGGGGUGAAAUCCCGGAGCUCAACUUCGGGAUUGCCUUUGAUACUGUUGGUCUCGAGUCCGGAAGAGGUGGGUGGAAUUCCUAGUGUAGAGGUGAAAUUCGUAGAUAUUAGGAAGAACACCGGUGGCGAAGGCGGCCCACUGGUCCGGUACUGACGCUGAGGUGCGAAAGCGUGGGGAGCAAACA
rnacentral:rRNA from 1 species